UCGGAGGCUAAUCUUUUUGAGUUUCGUAUUCAUAGUGCUGUGGUUACUCUGUGAUUUGUUUGCCUGUUAUUACAUCUUAAUUUAACGUAUUUUGGAAACGAAUUGACGAAUUCAAUAGACGACUUUUGUAUUUGAAGUUUUGCAAUCAAAUAUUAAAAUGAUUCUAAAAUUUGGAGCAAUACUCGUGAUCCAACUCUUUUUUAGUAAUUGUUUAACAUAUGCAUAUGAUGAUGGCAGCUACCAUCCAGACAACAGAGGUCAAUAUAUACCGGAUAAUAGCGGGAGAUACAUUUCAGACAACAGUGGCCAAUAUAUUCCGGAUAAUAGCGGAGAUACAUUCCAGACA